rnacentral:rRNA from 1 species
GAUGAACGCUGGCGGCGUGCCUAAUACAUGCAAGUCGAGCGAACGGACGAGAAGCUCGCUUCUCUGAUGUUAGCGGCGGACGGGUGAGUAACACGUGGAUAACCUACCUAUAAGACUGGGGUAACUUCGGGAAACCGGAGCUAAUACCGGAUGAUAUUUUGAACCGCAUGGUUCAAAAGUGAAAGACGGUCUUGCUGUCACUUAUAGAUGGAUCCGCGCUGCAUUAGCUAGUUGGUAAGGUAACGGCUUACCAAGGCAACGAUGCAUAGCCGACCUGAGAGGGUGAUCGGCCACACUGGAACUGAGACACGGUCCAGACUCCUACGGGAGGCAGCAGUAGGGAAUCUUCCGCAAUGGGCGAAAGCCUGACGGAGCAACGCCGCGUGAGUGAUGAAGGUCUUCGGAUCGUAAAACUCUGUUAUUAGGGAAGAACAUAUGUGUAAGUAACUGUGCACAUCUUGACGGUACCUAAACAGAAAGCCACGGCUAACUACGUG